CUAAUAUUGAAGAAAUCAGGGUCCCAAUCCCAGUGUCCCCUUCUAAGGUCCAAGCCCUGGACCCUCACAGACUCCACUGAUGUCACUUGAGAUCUCACUGUGGGAGGAAGCUCACAUCAUCAGGAAGCUCGGUGAAGCUUGGGAACGUCAGGAGCGAUGCACUGGAUUUCUCUCUGGCACGCCGCCGCCGUCUUCAUAUUAAACAUCCAAACCGUCCAGCUGGCUGCGCGCUUUCCCGGGGAAGCCGGCCAACGGAAAAGAAGCUGACUGAGAGGAAACCAAGAGUUCACUUCCAUCAAUUACAAAAAAUAUACCUAAAUAUAUAUGAGAGCUUCUGCAUUCAGCAUCUCUCAGAUAGAAAUGAUCCUCCCUGUCAUAUCAUCAUCAUGUUGUCAUCCUUUAACAAUCCUUUUCUUCCACUUUAUG